rnacentral:lncRNA from 1 species
CACACCGGACACAAGGGAAAGCCAGUAAAUGUUAAUGUGAGUCCGUUUGUUUACAACUAUGCAGCCAGUGAAACUCAAAUCCAUGAAGACCCGAAUGUGGCUCUUUUCUUUCUGGAAAAGGAUAUGCACCCCGGGGCAACAAUGAGCCUGCAUUUCACUGAAAAUACAGAGAAAUCAGCUUUCUUACCUUAUCAAACUGCCCAAAAAAUACCGUUUUCAUCUGACAAGUUGCCAGAAAUUUUCAACAAGUUUUCAGUGAAACCUGGAUCACUGAAGGCAGAGAUGAUGAAGAACACAAUUAAGGAGUGCGAACAGCCAGCGAUUGAAGGAGAGGAAAAAUAUUGUGCAACCUCACUGGAGUCAAUGAUUGACUAUAGCAUUUCCAAACUAGGGAAAGUUGAUCAGGCAGUCUCAACAGAAGUGGAAAAACAAACCCCAACGCAGCAGUAUACAAUAACAGCUGGAGUGCAGAAGAUGACAAAUGGCAAAGCUGUAGUGUGCCACAAGCAGAAUUAUGCAUAUGCUGUCUUCUAUUGUCAUAAAUCAGAAACAACAAGGGCUUACAUGGUUCCUUUAGAGGGUGCUGACGGAACAAAAGCCAAAGCAGUAGCAGUCUGCCACACAGAUACAUCAGCAUGGAACCCUAAGCAUUUGGCUUUUCAAGUCCUAAAAGUUGAGCCAGGAACCAUUCCUGUCUGCCAUUUCCUUCCUCGGGAUCACAUUGUUUGGGUCCCUAAGUAAAAGUCCUGAAGAGUAGAUUCAUACACUAUAGUUUCUUCACAGUGUGCAUUAAAACAGCUUAAAGCAAUAUCCAGUUUGUUCUAUAAUAAUAUACCCACAAGUUUAGUCAUGUAAAAUCUAUCCAUGAAUCAUGUUCUUAGUAAUGGAUAAAAUGAUAUUACUUUCUGUAUCACAAGGGUUUGGUGAUAAAUGUAUUAGUAUUUUAAGUAACUUUUCAGACAUCGUAUUCCAAGUAACUUUGCGGACAUUAUGUUUCUCCAUUAGAUUACUAAUUCUCUUUCAUCACAGAUUAGCCAUCUCCACAGGAAAAUUCUCUGAAGGUAAACUAUCAUGUUCAUCACUCGAUUGCAAUCCGAGAAGAAAUUGUUUUUCCUAUGUCCCAAUAGCAGAAAAAUUUUGGACCAAUUUACAUGAUACAUAUGAGAAUUUUCUAAACAGAGUGUCAUGUCAUGUAUCUCGAAGGAUGCUAACUUAAUAUAGUAAGACCAGCAUUAAAAUCUUUUCAGAUAUGAGUAGGUUCCAAAGUACUCAAAUUUGAGCACCUGUACGGAACAAACCAUUGUGUGCACUGUGCAGCUCUUCGUGUCUGAUUCCUCCACCACUGUGAUGAGCAGCUGCAGCAUCCUCAGUGGCUAACCUCAGGCCCUUGAAAGACUUAUUCAACAGAUUAUGGUGAUAAGUCAAAUAAUUAUAAAUGAUGUCGGCUCCACGGAUCCUUUUAUUCCUGCAAUGCGGAUAAAUGCCCAAGAAUGUUUUAUAAUUAGAAAUGCCUGGAGAAACAAACAAAACCUAUUGGUUAGUUGUGUAAUAUAAUUAUAUACGUGUAUAUGUAUAUAUAGAAACAUGAUUCAUGAGGUUGCUUUAAUCAUUUUCUUCCCCAAUAAUCUGAGUUUUACUGCUCUCUAAUGAUUAUUACUAUCCAAUAAAGAAAAAUGACUUCUUAAACCAAUGUUGGUUUGCCAAAAAAAUAAUCCAACAACAAUAUUUGUUUUCUGAUCACCAAAUUGCAGUGCUGAAAUUUUUUUUAAACGAGUGGAUGACACAAAUCUCCACCAAAGCAAAUGGUUAUGAAACAAAUGGGGUCUUAAUGAAGUGGGGGCAAGGGGUGUUGUUCCAAUAGGGUCGGAAGCGUGUAAAUUAUUGUACUAAAAAAUCACACAAAGUUCAAUUCUCAGGGAAGAGAGGUGGAUCACAUGGAUCUCUUAAAUACCAAGUCUUUCCUUAGACAGAAUAUCCCUUCUAUAGUAAUUUAAUAGCACAAUUAAAUACUACUAUUAUACCCUCAAAUAUUGAAAGAAAAAUAGGACAAGAAAGAACACAAGAGUUUUAACGAGGUUCGGUAAAUUAUACCUACGUCCUCGGGCACUAACACCAGAUGAUAACUUUACUAACUUCAAAGUAUUACAAACAAAUAGAAUUCCUUAAGAAUUCUCAAAUGGGAGAAAAAGAAAACUAAGAGAGAAAGAUUGGUUGGGAUGAAUUGAAAUGAGAAAUGAGAAGGCCUAUUUAUAGUUGAGGUUCAAGGACCAAACAAUAAAUAGCCCAUUAUCUCAAGGACCAAAAAAAAAUUAUCCUUGCCACUUUUCCAAAGUUGGUGGUUGUCAUUAUUGAUUGUCUCCCAUUAAUGUUAAUGGCAACCAUUAUUAAUUGUCUUCCAUUAAUGUUAACAAUCUCCACCUUGAAGAUUUGAUUAGGAUAAUCACAUCUUCACACACUUCCUUCAACUCCCCAAAUUCGAUAAAGCUAUCUUUUGUAGUGCCUACAAAUGCGCUCUCGAGCGCCAUACACCUGAAGGUGCUCAAAUUCUCAGUAUGUUAAUCAAGUUCAAACAAUGAUUAAACUUGAUUGUUGUUACCACCUUGGUCAUCAUAUCUGCGGGAUUAUCUGCUGUCGGAAUCUUCUGAAGUAGAAUUUUUCCUUUUUCAAAGACUUCCCGCACAAAGUGAUAUCUUACGUCGAUAUGCUUGGUUCUUGAAUGAUAGACUUGAUUUUUCGCUAAAUGAAUAGCGCUCUGACUGUCACAAUAUAAACUUAUGUGACUUUGAACAACUCCUAAGUCUUUCAACAAUCCAUUAAGCCAAAUAGCCUCCUUAACAGCUUCUGUAACUGCCAUAUAUUCUGCCUUUGUAGUAGACACAGCUACUGUAGACUGUAAGGUAGACUUCCAACUCACUAGGGCUUUCGCAAGAGUAAACAGAUACCCCGUAGUUGAACGACGUUUAUCUAAAUCACCAGCAAAGUCGGAAUCAACAUAUCCAACUACAAACUGACCAAGUGCUUCAUCCUGUUCAAAAAUUAAACCAACAUCUACGAUUUUUCGAAGAUACCGUAGAAUCCAUUUCACAGCUUGCCAAUGUCCUUUUUCAGGAUCAUGCAUAUACCUGCUCACAACUCCAACAGCUUGUGAAAUGUCAGGCCUCGUACACACCAUCGCAUACAUCAAACUCCCAACUGCAUUAGCAUAUGGGACUUUCGCCAUAUAUUCUCUUUCAUCUUUAGUCUUCGGAGAUAAUUGAGCACUAAGUUUCAAAUGAGAAGCAAGUGGGGUACUUACAUGUUUUGUGUUUUCAUUUACACCAAAACAUUGUAAUACCUUUUUCAGAUAUUGCUUCUGAUUUAAACAGAGCUUGCCUCUCGGUCUAUCUCUACUUAUCUCCAUGCCGAGAAUCUUCUUGGCCUCACCUAGAUCUUUCAUCUCGAACUCUUGAUUCAACUGAGCCUUCAGCUUAUCUAUCUCAUUUUGGCUCUUCGAAGCGAUUAACAUAUCAUCAACAUACAAGAGUAGAUAAAUGAAAGAUCCGUCAUGCAGCUUCUGCAAAUAUACACAAUUGUCAUAUUUGCUUCUUGUGUACUUUUGCCUUCUCAUAAAGCUAUCAAAUCGCUUGUACCACUGCCUCGGGGAUUGCUUCAAUCCAUAUAGCGAUUUGUUAAGCUUACAAACCCAAUUUCUACCACCAGCAUCUGUGUAUCCUUCUGUCUGAGUCAUAUAGAUCUCCUCUUCUAACUCACCAUGCAAGAAAGCCGUCUUAACAUUGAGCUAGCUCCAAAUUCAACUGUGCUACCAAGGCCAACAAAAUUCUAAUGGAGGAAUGCUUCACAACAGGGGAAAAUACAUCAUUGUAGUCAAUUCCCUCCUUCUGAGCGUAGCCUUUAGCUACCAAUCUUGCCUUGUAGCGAAUAUCCUUCUUGCUAGGAGAUCCAUCUUUCUUUGCGAAUACCCACUUGCAUCCGAUUGCCCUUUUACCUUUCGGUAAUUGCGCCAACUCCCAAGUAUUGUUCUUCCGGAGAGACUGCAUUUCUUCAUCCAUGGCGCUUUUCCAUUUAUCACUUUCUAAGCUUUGCAUUGCUUCUUGAUAAGUGAUAGGAAUAUCAUCAACAACGAGAAGGGCGUAGGCCACCAUAUCAGUAAAUCGAGUAGGUUUACGAAUUUCUCUCCGUGGCCUUGCAACUGCAACUGGUUCUGGUGUACUUAGUGGUUCUUGGGUCAGAACCUCUUCAACCUCUAAUUCCUCCAUUGUGGCUGGAGAAUUAGACUUAUUGACUGGGCAAAUCCCCAUCUGCUCAAACUCCACCUGUUUUGGAGUACACUCCACCUGCUGUGGAGUAUUGCUCGUCUGAAUAUCUUUAUCUGCUACCUUUUUCAAUGUGGCAGAUUCAUCAAAGGUAACAUCUCUGCUACAAAUCAUUUUCUUUGUGCUUAAGCACCAAAGACGAAAUCCCUUCACUCCAGAAGUGAUUCCUAUAAAGAGAGCUUUCUUUGCCCUCGGAUCUAAUUUUGACUCCUUUACAUGGUAAUAUGUAGUGGUUCCAAACACAUGUAAGGAAUCAUAAUCUGUAGCCGGUUUUCCAGACCAUACCUCCAUAGGAGUUUUUCUUUCUAAUGCAGAUGAUGGCAAACGAUUAACAAGAUGGCCAGCGUAUGUCACAGCCUCAGCCCAAAAUUGCUUGCCCAACCCAGCAUUGGACAACAUACAUCGAACUUUCUCCAGCAAUGUUCGAUUCAUACACUCUGCCAAUCCAUUCUACUGUGGUGUAUCCCUAACUGUGAAGUGUCGAACAAUACCAUACUCUUGGCACACAUCGAAGAACGGAUCACUUUUAUAUUCCCCUCCAUUGUCCAUCCUAAGCCGCUUGAUUUUCUUGCCAGUCUGGUUUUCGAUCAUAGUUUUCCAUUUAAGAAAAACUCUAAGCACUUCAUCCUUAGUUCUCAUGGUAUACACCCAAACUCUUCUGGAAAAGUCAUCAACAAAAGUAACAAAGUAGUGUUUUCCUCCCAAUGAACGUGUCUUGGAAGGCGCCCACACAUCUGAGUGAACAUAUUCCAAAAUACCUUUUGUAUUAUGGAUAACAGUACCGAAUUUCACUCUCUUUUGCUUUCCCAGAACACAAUGCUCGCAAAAUUUUAAUUUGCAAGCCUUUGCACCUUUCAACAAUCCUUGCUUUGCCAGAAUUUGCAAGGAUUUUUCGCUGGCAUGUCCCAACUUCAUAUGCCACAACUGUAUUGAGUCCAAUUCUUUGUUGCCGGAAGCUGCAGCGACUGCUCCAAUAACUGUACUACCUUGGUAGUAAUACAAGUUAUUUUUCCUGAUGCCCUUCAAUAUCACAAGUGCGCCAGAUGUCACUUUCAAAACCCCAUCUCUCAUAGUAACAACUGAACCAUUGGAUUCCAAGGCUCCCAAUGAGAUGAGAUUUUUCUUCAAACUGGGCACGUACCGAACAUCAGUCAGAACUCUGGUUGAUCCAUCUUUAUUCUUUAAUUGGAUUGAACCUAUCCCAACAGUUUUACAGGCAUUGUCAUUGCCCAUAUAAACAACUCCUCCAUUUAGUUCUACUAAAUCAGAGAACCACUCCCGGUUAGGGGACAUAUGAUAGGUACAACCCGAAUCCAAUAUCCACUCAUCUGAAUGGAACGACGAUGAUGAUGCAACCAGUGAUAGUUCAGAGUCACUAGUAUCAUGCUUAGCAACACAAGCAUCUAUAGCAGCUUUUCCCUUAUUCUUCAGCUUUGGACAAUUUUUAUUCCAGUGGCCUUUCUCAUGAUAAAAAGCACAUUCAUCUUUCCCAAGUCUGGACUUUGACUUUGAUCUCCCCUUUUGAGUUUUCUUCCGAGUGUAUGAACGACCUCGGACUACUAAAGCUUCUGUAUCUCUGAUUGAGUUUUUCUGUUUGUCCUUCUUUCUCUGUUCAUAACUGUAUAAGGCCGCACAGACUUCGCUCAGAGAUAUAUCACUCCUGCCAUGAAGUUGAGUAGUUUCUAGGAACUCAAACUCCUCAGGAAGUGACCCCAACAGCAUCAAAGCCAAAUCUUCAUCUUUGAAUGUCUCAUCCAUAUUCAACAAAUCAGUGACUAACUGAUUAAAUUUGGUGAUGUGAUCAUUCAUUGUGGUACUUGGGACGUAUGUGAAGCGAAAUAGUCUUUUCUUCAAGUGGAGCUUAUUUUGACUGUUUUUCUUCAAAAAAAAUUUUUCAAGUGCCACCCACAACUUAUUUGCAGAAGUCUCCUUUGAAAAAGCAUACCUCUGCUCUCGAGAAAGGCAUGAUCGAAUUGUGCCACAUGCCAACCGAUUGAUUGCCUUCCAAUCUUUCUCCUAUACAUCAUCUGGUUUCUCUUCAUCAAUGGCAAUGUCUAGACCCUGCUGAAAAAGGGCAUCUAGAACAUCACUUUGCCACAUACCAAAAUGGCCCGUACCAUCAAAGAUCUCCACGGCCAAUCUUGCAUUUGCAAUUGUCGGUCUUGUCCACAUGGACGAUGUUGAAGCUCCUACACUGACCGUUUUCUCCAUAAUCUUUCAAUAUACCUAAGGAAAUCUUUUCUGAUGUGGAAGAUCAGUUUAAACUGCAACCACAGAGCAUACUACGAUUAACCUUCGGCUCUUGAUACCACUUGUUGUUCCAAUAGGGUCGGAAGCGUGUAAAUUAUUGUACUAAAAAAUCACACAAAGUUCAAUUCCCAGGGAAGAGAGGUGGAUCACAUGGAUCUCUUAAAUACCAAGUCUUUCCUUAGACAGAAUAUCCCUUCUAUAGUAAUUUAAUAGCACAAUUAAAUACUACUAUUAUACCCUCAAAUAUUGAAAGAAAAAUAGGACAAGAAAGAACACAAGAGUUUUAACGAGGUUCGGUAAAUUAUACCUACGUCCUCGGGCACUAACACCAGAUGAUAACUUUACUAACUUCAAAGUAUUACAAACAAAUAGAAUUCCUUAAGAAUUCUCAAAUGGGAGAAAAAGAAAACUAAGAGAGAAAGAUUGGUUGGGAUGAAUUGAAAUGAGAAAUGAGAAGGCCUAUUUAUAGUUGAGGUUCAAGGACCAAACAAUAAAUAGCCCAUUAUCUCAAGGACCAAAAAAAAAUUAUCCUUGCCACUUUUCCAAAGUUGGUGGUUGUCAUUAUUGAUUGUCUCCCAUUAAUGUUAAUGGCAACCAUUAUUAAUUGUCUUCCAUUAAUGUUAACAAGGGGUGUCUUCAGAUGCAUAUGAAUUUGGUUUACAGGCGAGAUAGAUCACAAAUAUUAUAUUGAUAAAAAAAAUUGAUAUCGUUCGUGGAAAAUCAUUAGUGGAAUGAAGGAGUUAAAGUUCACAUGUUAUUCAUAGAAUGAAUUGAAAGAGUUGAGAGUUUUGAGAGAGAAUUUCAGAAAAAUAAUAAGUGGGAUGUGCAUGUUUUUCUAGAUUAUUUGAAGGCAUGUACGUAAUUAUGCACAACUUAUGGAAUAUAAGUGUUUUAUAUGUAUAAUAUAUUUAUUAAGUUACGAUGAAUCCUUUCACACGUUACUUUUAAAGUUAUGUAAAGUCUUAUUUUUAUAAGUAGUUUUAAGUUAAUAUUAAUGUGAUUGGACGAGACCCACAUAUUGAACAUAUAAAAAAAGUAUCGAUAAUCAUGUAAAAUAAAAUGUAAUCUUCAAAGUAAGUGAAUUUUUUUAAUCAAAAUGGAUUGACUUGACGAAAUUUUUUAAAACGAAAUAAAUAAAUAUCAUCUUACAUAUAUUUAUAUAUGUGUGCAAUAUACAUAAAUGUACCCUUAGCCCACCAAAACUUUCUUUCGCAAAUUUUAGACGGCGAACCAAAACCAAGGUACCUAACCACGUCCUACAAACCAGAUGUUCGUAUAGGUUAGAUGCAGGAUUAAGAAGCCACAACCUAUAAGGCUAAAACUUGCCACAUGCCCAUAUGACAUCUUACUUUCAAAAAAAAGAAAAAACAUGACAUUCAACUCAAAUCCUAUACAAAUACCUUUAUUUGUAAGAAGAAAUUUUCUCAUUUAUUGACUAUAAUUAUUAGAUUUUACAAGUAAAAUUUACAAAGUGGCACAGAUAUUUAGUCCAAUGAUAAAUCCGCUUUAUAGAUGAAAAGUAUAAAAAAUUAUAUAUUUUUCUUUUAAAUGAAAGCUAAAUUAAAAAAAAAACAAUUAUAUGGCUGAUUGUUUUUAUUGUAUUUUAAAAAAAGUUAAGUGAGUAGGUUUUUUACCCUGUGAUUCCCAAAAAAAAUGUUGUCAUCGAGGAUUGUUACCUAUACACAGAUAAAUUCAAGGAAAACUAUUUCAUGCAAGCUAAUCAUAUUUAAAAGCAAGCAAAGGGUCGUAAACAUUGUAGAUUGGAGCAUUUCAUGAAACAUAGUUACAAGCUAGAGUAUCAUCCCAUGACCCAUAGCAGUCUUCUAUAUUAUUGGGUUUUUGCAAACUUGGGCUUGAAUACACAAAUAGAAUAUAAUCACAGAAAACUUUGUUUUUUGUGUAUUGAAUUUGGGUUUAUGCUUCAUUUUAUUAUCGACAAUGAUAUCAGAACCUAUUUUAAAUCCAACAUCAUGACGAUUUGAUUUUUAUUUGUUUAAUAAUAUUUUGUCCCCUAACUAAUUGGCAAUUGAAAACUUCUACCCUUUGUAUGCAUGAUUAGUUUAGAAAUUUUGUGCAUAAUUAUCAAGCAACGUCGUGAUUACAAUUCUUGAACUCGAUUCCAUGAUAAGGAGUUCAAAUUUUAAAGUCGACCAAAGCAAGUUAGUAUCUUUCACUCUUUUAACAUAUAUUUCCAACUUCAUAUAUAAACAUUUAUUUAUACUCAUGGUUUAGAAACAGGGCUGAAAAAACUCUCUUGAAAGCAGAUACCAUUGGCGGCAGCCAUGGGUUUAUGUGAAGAAGAAAAGAUGCCUCUAUCUCUAUGAGUAGAAUUAUUGCAGUGGGUCACACCUUCGCUUUCAUUUACUUCAACUUCUCAGGUAAUAUUCCAACAUUACAGCGUUGAAUUGUUUGCAAAUUUAUUUACCUCAUAUUCCCACUUUCUUUGAUCUCUCCUUGUCCCAACCACGUUGGAUUUUGAACCAUUUGGUCUUAUAUUACAUAACAUACAAAUGAAAAGAAAAGAAAAACAUUUGCGAUUCCGACCAUAAAUAAAUAAUGUUCUGUUCUGUAACGAGAAACAGCCAAAGCUUCCAGCACUUACAAUAAUAAUAAAAGUAAUGAGGGUAAAGGCUUCAAAGUUUUUUUUUUUUUUGUUUUUUUUUAAAUAAAGGAUAAGGAGUAAGGAUUAUCUUAUGAUCCAACUUAGCAUUAGUGUUUAAUUGAAAAUUUAAAUACAAUAACUUCAAGAUAGAGUACAGUGUCCGUGUGGUGUUUGUUUUUCUACCUUCCCUGCAGGAUCCGAAACUUCCAAUUCAAGUUUCUUGCUAUAGAUAAGGUGUUUCGUAAGAAAACGUAAGUCUUAAAAGAGUUACAAGACAGCACCAGUUAUAUGGCCCUUGCUAGAUUCAUAGUUACUUUCCCAUGUACCGACUCUAAAGUGAAUGACUUUUUUUUUUCUUUGCAUAGCACUUUUUUUUUCCCCGAAAAGGAUAGGUAUCAAAAUGAUAUAUGUAUUUUAGGGCCAACACUCAGAACCACUUUUUGACCACUCAUAGUUUAGUUAAAAUCAAAUUUCGUUCUGUCUUUUGACACACUAUUUUCUCUGUCUAUUGAAAUGCUCUUCUGCUGUUGUUAGCACGCUUUCGUCUCUUGUUUUGCUUGUUGUUUAUUUUCUUUGAUUUAGUCAUUAUUGUAGUUAAGAACAUUGAUGAUUCUAUAGCAGACCUGUCACUGGAGUAUGAUGAAGAUGAAACCAUUCAAUUAGGGGCCGAAUCUUCAGAGAGUGAAACCUUGUAUGCUAAUUGUUUUGUAGGAAUGUUUCUUACCUCCAGUGUAGUUAAUUUCCAAGCGAUGAGAUUGACUUUGGCUAAUUUUUGGCAUCCAAUAGAGGGAGUCUCAAUCUCGAAUCUAGGCAAUGAAAGAUUCUUAUUCAAAUUUUAUUUUGAAGUUGACGUGGACAAAGUUGAAAAAAAUGGGUCAUGGAAUUUCAACUCUCAUCUAUUGGUGCUACAUCGGUUAAAGGAAGAGGAAGACCCUUUAUCUGUUCAAUUAAAUUGGGUAGACUUUUGGAUGCUUAUCCAUGAUCUUCCCCUUGGUUUCAUGUCUGAAGCGGUUGCUAGACAGUUGGAUAGUUUUAUUGGUGUUUUCCUUGAAUAUGAUGCAUCAACGACUCAGUUGGGUUAUAAAAGAAUAAUGAUGUUAAAUGUGCGAAUUGAUGUUAGAAAACCAUUGAAAAAGAAGAAGAAACUCACCUCUCGAAUGGUGAGUGGAUUUAUGUUCGAUUUGAAUAUGAAAAACUCAUUUUAUUUUGUUUCCUUUGUGGUAAACUAAGGCAUGGUAAAACUUUUUACCCGAUCAGAGCUCACAAUCCGCUACAAGAGUAUGUUUUCCGUUGGGAUAUAUCUUUACGUGCUCAGUUAAGGAAAAAUUUGGCUUGGAAGAGUAGAUGGUUGGUGGAGGAUGACGAUUGUGGUACUUUAAUUUAUGGAAACUAUAACACCCCUAACCCUUAUCCGUCGCCGGAACAGGGUUACAAAACAUUACCAGACUUUACAGAUUAAAUAUGAACAUUUCACAACUUUUAUUAUACAUGUUAAGAAUCAGUUAUAAAACACUCAUGUUGUCCCUUAGAUGGACCCUCAAGGCACAAUAUACACUUUAGAAAUGAAUUGGGACUAAACCGGAUACUUAGAGAAUUUUUCCUAAAAUCUCAAAAAAAUUUCUUAAAAGUAGGGGACACACGUCUGUGUGGCUCACACAGCCAGGAGACACACCCGUGUCUUAAGCCGUGUAGGCAUUCGAUGUGAGGCACACAACCGUGUCUCAGCCCGUGCCCUUACCCGUGUAACUCUCUGACUUGGGUCACACGGCCAUCCACAUGCCCGUAUGCUAGGCCGUGUGCAAGAUGUAAAGGUCACACAGCCAAGCCACACACCCGUGUGCUAAGCCGUGUGUAAAAACUUGAGCAUUCUGUUUUAAAAUUUUAAGGUGCAGGGGACACACGGCCAGACCAUACGCCCAUGUGUCAGGCCGUGUGGACGAAAAUAGACCAUUUUCAAUACAUCAAAUAGCCCCAAUCAAACAAUCAACACAAGCCAAAAAUCAUGUUUUAAACAUAAUAUAUCAUCACAAAACUCAAUUGCCAAAACUUACCAAAAUAACUCCGUUCAUUGAUUUACCAAAAUCUACUACUAAAUAUAUGCAUACUAACACAUAUAUAUGUCAUUCACAACCAUACUUCAAAUUUAGCUCUUUUCUAACUCGGCCCUAUACAUGUCAUAUAAACCAUAAAAUGUAUAACAAAAUCUACUGGAGCAAACUAGAUAGUGUGGCUCUAUGUGUUGAUCCGAUGCUUUAAACUUCUUAAAAAUCUAAAAAGAACAUUAAACGACACAGUAAGUUUAAUGAAGCUUAGCAAGUUCGCUGGCUUUAAAUAUAAAUCUUACCGAACAUACUAUAAUAAUUUAUUUAGGUAAAUUAUUUCACAAACAUUUCCUGCCAAUCACAACUUCAAUUAAUGAAUUCACUCAUUUGAGCUCAAUAUCAAUAAUAACUUAAAUUCUUCCACAUUAAUUCCAUUUGGCACUUACCAAUCAUUAUCAAACCAGAGAACGUCUUACGGAUUUGAGUACAUCGUAAAUAGAAAUCCAUAAGGGUUCAUCUAAAGCUCAAAAGAGUUAAACGGAAACCCAUUAGGGUUAAAUUGAAGCUCAAAAGAGCUAAACUGAAAUCCAGAAGCGUUAAUUUGAAACUCAUGAGUUUACUGAAGCUCGUGAGAGCUAAACGGAAAGCAAAUACGAGAGUUCGCAACAAAUGUUGAACAUCGGUUUACUUGGGUAAUUUUACCGUCAAUUCCUAUUUUGCACUAAACGACUAUACUCAAUCCUACGUUCCAUUCACUUCAAACACUUGAUGCAAUUUCAUAAAUUUAACAAUAAUUUUAUUUUCAACAAAUGUUACGAAUAAAUACAAAAAAUCAUUCAUCAAUUAACAUAUCACAUUAAAUUUUAACCAUUAGAACUUACCUGGGUUAAAUUGUGGAAAUUGUAAUGGUUCAGAGAUUAUUUGGCUAUUUUCCCAUUUUUCGCGUUGGUCUAAGGGCUCUUGAUCUAAAAUAUAAAAUUAUUAAUUCAUUAGCACAUGCUUCAAUUCUAAUUCACUUCACAAUUUAUACCACUCAAUUUUUGAAAUUAUACAAUUACCUCAACUUUUACAGUUUUUGUAAUUUAGUCCAUCGCCAAUUAACUCAUCAAAUAAGCUAAUUUUUCUCAAGUAACACUUUAUCUAAAUAUUUUAAACUAUUACACAGCCUUUGAUAAACAUAAUUUAAUACUAAACCCUAAGAUUUAAUUUUUUUACAAUUUGGUCCUAAAAUCAAUUUCCCUUGAAAGCACUUGAUAAAAUCAUCAUAUAACAAAAUUAAAACUUCAAAUCCAUGUUAAUUCAUCAUAAAAAUGCAGCACUCAUCAAUGGUAGCUUUCAAGAUUACUCAUAAAAUCAAAAACUAAUGAAUUAGAUAGUUAGACCUAAUUACAGAAGUCUUAAAAACACAAAUUUUAAGAAAAGAGCAAGAAUUGAACUCACAUGUAGCAAAAUAUGAAAUCCAACUUCUUAAGGGUUCUUCAAUGGUGUUUUUAGCUGAUAAAUUGAAGAAGAAUAACUUAGAAAAGUUGAGAAUUCAAUUUAUUUAAGUUUAUUUCACAAAAUUUACAAUUUUGCCCUUUAAUCACAUGAUUUUUGUUUUCUUUUCUGCUUAUGCCGCCUCAGGCCUUUGUUUUAGGCAUAAUUGCUCCUUAAGUCCUUCUUUGUUCAUUAAUUAAGUCAUUUAAUCAUUAUUUCUUUAAUUAGCAAGUUUUGCACCUUUUUCUAAUUUAAUCUUUUUUAAUUAAUUAACUAUCGAAACGUUAAAAUUUUCUAACGAAAUAUUUAUAAAAAUAUUUACAGCUCAGUUUAUAAAAUCGAGAUCUUGAUACCUCGUUUUCAAAACUAGUUAAUCUAACAAAUAUUUCUAAAGCAUAAAUCACUAAUUCAUAAGCCUUCUUAAAUUCAGAAUCGAAUCAAAAACACUAUAUAAUAAAAUUUAUGAAUUAAUUUAUCGGAUUUAGUGUUCUCAAACUACUAUUUUCGAAACUACUGAAAAUUGGACUGUUACAAAAACUCUAUAAAAAUACGGAAAGGAGAAAUUUUGAGGUUUCAUAAUCUGUUUGCAUAAAUCAAUGAGCAAAUUCAGAAUUUAUUUCCAAUUAUUCCCUCUCAACAAAAGGAAUGGUGAAUGUCUAGUUGACUUCAAGCCCAAUAAAUAUGGGUGAAAUGGGUCGAGCUUACAACGAAGCUAGGAACAUCUUUGAUGCGAAUAUGGCAAUUUAUGAGGAGGAGAAUAACCCAAUAAAAUAAAGUGAUGGGCUAAAAAGACCUUUUUUUAAGUCUACUUCAGGAGUUUCUAAUAAGGAAGAUUUGAAUGAAGUUUCGGGUACUCUAUUACAGGUACCAAAUUCUAGUAGAUCGCCAGGCCCUGCUAAGUGGGCUAGUCGGAUGCAAUGAAGCUGUUGAGUUGGAACAUUCAGGUAAAGGGGAGGUCUUGGACAGUUUGUUGUCUCCAGCAUAUGCUGAGAGAUAUAAAUCUCUCUAUAGUGUUCCUAAUUGAGAUGAAACUAUAGGGUUUUAAUAUGGAAGGAACAAGACGCAAAUGUGGAUUUCUUAAUGGGAUGGAUGUUGAUUCAUAUGGUAGAAGUGAGGGUUUAUCAAUGGGUUGGAGUAGCGAUUAUAAGAUUUGUCUUCGGUCUUUUUCGAGAAGGGACAUUGGCAUUAUGAUUGAUAAGGAUACUGAUGGUAAAACUUGGUGAUGUACGGGGUUUUAUGAAGUGCCCGAGGAGAAUCUGAGGAGGCAUCGUAAAAUUUAUUGCAUUCUUUAGAUGACUGCCCACAUAUCCCUAUGUUUGUAAUAGGGGAUUUUAAUGAAAUAGCUUAUUCAUCUGAAAAGAAAGGUGGAUUACUUCAGAGGGAGAGACAAAUGAGAAGAUUUUGGGAAGCUCUUUAUGAUUGCUCUCUUACAGAUUUGGGCUAUAGAGGACAAUGGUUUACCUGGGAAAAAGGUCGUACUCGAGCAAACAAUAUUAGGAAACGUUUGGAUCAAAGGGUAGCUAAUGCAGUUUGAUGGGAUUUAUUUCAAAAUUACAAAAUGCAUCAUCUCACGCAUUCUUUUUUAUUGCAAUCAGAUUUUGAAAAUAAUCAUGCGAAAUGGUGUCACUUCAAGUUCGAGGUUGCGUGGCUUUUGGAAGAAACGUGUGAGUCAAAUGUUCUAAAAUUAUAGACUGAAAAUUUGGGUGAUGUCCUUAAUAGAUUGAAGGUGUUUGGUGUGGGCCUUAAAGCGUGGUUCAAAAGGAUUAAAAAGAUAGGGGUUUGUCGAAAAAAGAUCUUAAGAAGCAAUUCAUUAAGUUGAACAAAUCAUACCUAACUGAUGAGGUGUUGGGUGAUAUUGUUGAGAUAAAACUAGCCCUUAAUAUGGAGGCCGGUAGGGAGGAACUCUACUGGGAACAAAGAGCCAGAGCUAAUUGGAUGAAAAAUGGUGACCGAAACACAAAAAUUGCAACAAAAAGAAGACGAAGGAAUAUGAUGGAUAAACUACUAGAUUUUGAUGAAAAUUAUUAUAAGAGCAAUGAGGAGCAGUUGUCACUUGCCACUGACUACUUUGCCUCUCUAUUCACUUCAACUAGAAUCGAAAAUCCAGGUUCUAUAUUAGAAGGGGUUGAGCCGUGCAUUACUCGAGCAAUGAACGAGGAACUUGCAAAGGAUUUUUCUUACGAGGAUAUUUGUAUGGCGUUAAAAUCAUGAAUACAUUAAAGACUUCUGGUGAGGAUGACUUGGGUGCAAUUUUUUAUCAAUGGUUUUGGCAUAUUAUGGGUAAAGAGGUAGCAAAUUAUUGUAUUGAGAUUUUAAAUGGAGGCACAAUAUCGCUGAAAUCAACCAGACACAAAUUGUUUUAAUCCCUAAGGUUAGCUGUCCAUGAAUUAUGGCUCUAUUUAAACCGAUUAGCCGUUAUAAUACCCUUUACAAAAUUAUUGCAAAAAUGCUAGUGAAUAGGUUUUAAAAAGUCUUUCACUAUUGUAUAGAUGAGGUACAAAGUGCAUUUGUACCAGGGAGGCUUAUCACUGAUAAUAUUUUAGUUGUCUAUGACGUUUUACACUCCAUGAAAAAGAAAAAGAAAAAGAUAAGAGAUGAAGGGUCUUUUGCUUUGAAGCUUAACAUGAGUAAAACGUAUAAUAGACUAAAGUGUGCGCUCAUUAAUGUCAUGCUUAGCCGAAUGAGUUUCUCGAAGUUGUGGGUUCAGAAAAUUAUGAGAUGUAUUGAAAUGAUUUCUUAUUCUGUGGUUAUGAGCGGAGAGGUGGGUAAUUUGUUUCUUCCUUAUCGGGGGCUUAAACAAGGGGGCCCACUUAAUCCUUAUUUAUUUCUUAUUUGGGGAAGGUCUGUCAUCUUUUCUUAGAAUGGCUGCUACAAGUGGGGAUCUCAAGGGUGCUUGCAUUAAGAGACACGCUCCAGUUAGCACCCACUUGUUAUCUUUGCAAAUGACAGUCUUAUCUUUGGAAAGGCCACAACAGAUGGGGCUAUGGUGCUUAAUGAAAGACUGGAGAUUUAUGCCAAUAGUUUGGGUCAAUUAAUAAUUUUUGAUAAGUCUGGUAUGUUUUUAGUUCCAAUGUUGAGUAGAAUAGCAAAAAAGAGGUUUAUCGAAUUUUAGGGGUUAAUCCAAACAUUAAUCCAGAAAAGUAUAUUGGUCUCCUUUAAAUCGUGGGGCAAAACAAAAAGAGGGCUUUUAGGGAGAUAAAAGAAAAUCUAAUUAAAAGAGUGUUUAGUUAGAGUUCGAGAAUGCUUUCGGUGGGUAUAAAAGAGGCCCUUAUCAAAAUAGUAUUUCAGGGAGUUCCCAUGUAUACCAUUUCUUAUUUCUUGAUGCCCAAUUCCUUUUGUAAGGAACUUGAAACUGUUAUUGCUAGAUUUUGGUGACAGAAGAAAGCUGGGAGGAAUGGUUUACAUUGGAGUUCUUGGAAACCAUUGUGUAUUCCAAAAGAGGAUAAAGGUAUGGGUUUCCGUAAUCUUUCUAAAUUUAAUAUUUCUUUAUUAGCAAAACAAUGUUAGAGAUUGAUGGAAAAUCCAGGCUCGUUAACAAGAUUAAUUCGAGAAAAAUAUUAUCACGGUUUAAAUUUUCUAGAAGCCCCAUUGGGCUCAUACCCGUCCCUAAUUUGGAAAAGUAUAUGGUGUUCCAAAGCUUUGUUAAAAUCUGGUAUUGGAUGAAGGAUUGGUUCUGGGCUAUCUAUCUUGAUAUGGCAAGACUAUUGGUUACCGAGGAAGAAUAGAGCACUAAUUACUACAAACAAGGUAGCAAGAUUGGAAUGUGUAAGUGAUUUGAUUCUCCCAAACCCAAAUAGAAGAGAUCGACAAUUAAUCUACUCAACUUUCACGGAGGAAGAAGGAAAUUUGAUUGUAAGAAUCCCUAUACCUAUCACUAAUCAAUCUGAUAAAGUAAUAUGGUCUAGAGAAAAAUCAGGUUUUUAUUCAGUAAAAAGCAGUCACAAAGCCUUCAUCGAACUUCUCAUUUGAGUACUAUUGAGCAAUAUAAUUUUAAGCAAAUUUGGAGUUUAACGUGCCUAUCAAAAAUUCACAUUUUAAUGUGAAAAUUUGCAAAUAUAUAUAUUCCUACUUUCCAGAAUUUGCAUUAUAGAAGAAUUUUGUCAGAGAAUAGUUACCCGCGCUGUCAGGAUUGUAGUAAAUCACAUGUUCAUGUUGCUCGAUACUGUGCAUUCACUAUGCAUGUUUGAUCAAAAUUAAAUUAUCAGUGGCCAAGUUCAAUGCGUCUAUGAGUUUUAACAACUGGUUAAACUGGCUAUUCAUAAAUUCAUCCAGUAACAGUAAAGGGGAAAUAGCCAUUACAAUUUGGGCAAUCUGAUUUUCCCGCAACAAACUGAUACAUGAAAGAAAAGUACAAAGUGUGGAGGAAGUUGUUACCUUUAUCAGGGGUUAUGGCAGGGAGUACAAGAGGCGUUUUGGAAUAUUACAACACCCCUGACCCAGAUAGUUGAUAAAAUGGGAGCCCCCCCUACGAAUUGGGUCAAAGUGAAUGUUGACGUCGGUUUCUCAGAGGCAAAACAACAUGCAACAUUGGGUUUCUUAAUUAGAAAUGAUGAAGGUCUUAAAAUAGGGUCGGGAAUCAGAACUCAUAACCUAGUUAGAUCGGUGGUGUUGGCUAAAGCGAUGGCUGCUCUUCACGGGCUCUAGUUUGCGUUGGAGAUGGGUUUCACGAAAAUUAUUUUGGAAAGUGACUCUAAAACAAUUAUUAAAAACCUCCAAGCAACAAAGGAAGACUAUUCAGAGAUAAGACCGAUUACUUGGGAUGUGAAGGCUCUUACAAUGAAAUUUUCUUCAUGUCAUUUUGAGUUCGUUGCGGGAGAAGGUAACGCAGUGGCGCAUGCGAUGGCGGUCGAAGGGAUGAGAAGAUCAGAAGACUCGUUCUGGGUUGAAGAUGCCCUAUUAAAAGCGAUGGAAAUGGCAGAUUUGGAUCGUCUUUUCAUCUGGCCACCAUAAUUUCCCUCCUCUGCUGCUCGCUGCUCUGGGUUGAGAACUUCUGAUAUUCUAAAGGUAUAUCUCAACUCCCUUCCAUUGUUUGCUAGUUCUGAUUACCAGAUCUCGCAAGGUUUUGGCUGUUUGGGUUUUCUGGUCACUGAAGGGUUUGGAAGAAGCUUCUAGAGUUGCAUCAUGUUUUAUUUUCUUUAUUUUAUCUGUUUGAACUUCAUUUUCUAUCUGCUUUUGUUUUGGACUUCCAAGCCCAUUUUAAUCAAAAUGAACCGUUUAUUCAAAAAAAAAAAUAACUUUUUGACAAAAAAAAUACUUUUAAGCAAAAGCUAAAAAUUUUUAGUUUUGCUUUUGAUAAAAAAAAUAAUUUUGUAAAAUAUUUUUUUAUCUCAAAAAUAUUUUUAAAAAGCUCAAAAGUAUAUUGUUUAGUAAUAUUUUCAAAUCAAAAGUAUUUUUUGUCUCAAAAAUACUUUUGAAAAGUAAUACUAAUCAGACUCAAAAGUAAUUACGAUUUUUUUGUGUCCUUAGACACCGAUAGACACUCAAUUUGAUUGUUGGAACUGAAAAAAAAAGAAGUGUUACUUUCAUGUAUUUUCCAAUUAUUAUAUAUAAGGAGAUGGUAGUGAAACACUUUUUUUUCUCAAUUAAAAAAAAAAUUUAAGUGAGUAGUUUAUGGGAGAGUGAGUAGUUUUCUUUUUAGAUCUGACUUUUUUAAAGGUUGGAAUUAAUGAAUAUAAAAGUAAAAAGAUUGGUAAAUAUUGAUUAUUUACUGUUUUGUUCUACAUUUUCUUGAUUUAUAUUAACUUUUAAAGAGAUUUUAGUAACGUCAGUUAAGACCAUAAACUUAAUCAGAAAUAGUAAAAAACUUUAUGGCAGAAAAAAGUAAAAAAUAACUAAAAAAGAAAAAGGGAACUAAAAUAUGAUAACCUCUUAAUCCACUAAUGAAAUAAAAAUUUCACUAUUUAUAAUCUACUUCCCUUUUCCGGGCCAGUGUUUCAAACUAGAAACUUCUUUGGGUCAUCUUCAUAUUAGAUUGAAGCCCGAUUUUAGGUUUAUGUACCAAAACCAAAAAUUAGUUAUGUUUGGUAAAUGAAUUUGAAUACAUGCACCACCACUCUCAAUGCUCACCCACCUAAGCCCAUGACAUAAACUGCAUUUAAGUGAACCAGUGGCAGUUGGAGCCAUUAUGUUGGUUGAAAAAUAUUGUUGGCAGUGUUAUUCAGCAGUACUUGUUCUAAGGCUCCUACUACAUUUCUCAUUAUAAAUGUGGAGAAAUCUUGUUCUACUUUCCAUUCCAUGCAACACUAACUUUUAGAUUCCCUUUCCAUUGCACUGCUCUUUCUUUCUAUAGAAUUAGUCACUCCUGUUCUAGAUGAAGGUUCUCUCCCCAAUUCUUGCUUGCCUAGCGGUAAGUUUUUCGAUUUCAUGUGAUUAUUCGUUGUUGAAUGCAAAGAACUAUGAAGGGUUUUUUUUUACCUCAACUUUUCUUGUUUGUUAUUUGUUGUUACAGCUUGCUGUGGUGGUAAGCCAUGCUGCUCUCUCACCUGAGCAAUAUUGGAGCUAUAAGCUGCCAAAUACUCCAAUGCCAAAGGCUGUCAAAGAAAUUCUACAUCCAGGUGAGUGUUUAAUAUCCCAAGAAUUCUUUUUUUUUUUUUUGAAUCAUGUUUACUCACCGACAAAACAGGACUACUGUGAUAUAAGCCCUCAACUUGAGAUGGUCAGGAAAGUGAGGACUGUAGAAUAUCAGACCCUGGUUUCCCAUAGAAUUGAAUUGAGCCUAAUGCAGCAAACAAUCAUGUAAUCGUGGAAGCCGGGUAAUAAUCAGAAAUGAGGUGCUUAACAUAGUUCUGUUCCUGCAAUUUAUUAAAAGAGAAAGAGCCAGGAUACUUUCUGUUUAGCAAUAUAUUUCAGAAAACAUAGGAAUAGGAUGUGUUCUGCACAUAUUGACUUAUUAUGAAAAAAAUUGUUGGAAUCAUGCAUUCAUCAGCAUGUAUAUGAGCUCUCUAGCCCAUUUUGGUGUAUUUGCAGAACUGAUGGAGGAGAAAAGCACCUCUGUAAAUGUAGGAGGUGGUGGUGUAAACGUCAAUACAGGAAAAGGGAAGCCUGGGGGUGACACCCAUGUGAACGUUGGAGGCAAAGGAGUUGGAGUGAACACGGGAAAGCCAGGGGGUGGCACUCAUGUGAAUGUUGGAGACCCUUUUAAUUACCUAUAUGCAGCCAGUGAAACUCAAAUCCAUGAAGACCCGAAUGUGGCUCUUUUCUUUCUGGAAAAGGAUAUGCACCCCGGGGCAACAAUGAGCCUGCAUUUCACUGAAAAUACAGAGAAAUCAGCUUUCUUACCUUAUCAAACUGCCCAAAAAAUACCGUUUUCAUCUGACAAGUUGCCAGAAAUUUUCAACAAGUUUUCAGUGAAACCUGGAUCACUGAAGGCAGAGAUGAUGAAGAACACAAUUAAGGAGUGCGAACAGCCAGCGAUUGAAGGAGAGGAAAAAUAUUGUGCAACCUCACUGGAGUCAAUGAUUGACUAUAGCAUUUCCAAACUAGGGAAAGUUGAUCAGGCAGUCUCAACAGAAGUGGAAAAACAAACCCCAAUGCAAAAGUAUACAAUAGCAGC